rnacentral:rRNA from 1 species
CCUACGGGCGGCAGCAGUGAGGAAUAUUGGUCAAUGGCCGGAAGGCUGAACCAGCCAUGCCGCGUGAAGGUCAGUGCCCUAUGGGCGUUAAACUUCUUUUGUGCGGGAGCAAUAAUGGUCACGUGUGGCCAGACGAGAGUACCGUACGAAUAAGCAUCGGCUAACUCCGUGCCAGCAGCCGCGGUAAUACGGGGGAUGCAGGCGUUAUCCGGAUUUAUUGGGUGUAAAGGGUGCGUAGGCUGUGAGGUAAGUCAGCGGUGAAAUGCCCCCGCUCAACGGGGUGAAGUGCCAUUGAUACUGCCUGGCUGGAAUGCGGAUGCCGUGGGAGGAAUGUGUAGUGUAGCGGUGAAAUGCAUAGAUAUCACACAGAACACCGAUUGCGAAGGCAUCUCACGAAUCCGCGAUUGACGCUGAUGCACGAAAGCGUGGGUAUCAAACAGGAUUAGAUACCCCUGUAGUC